rnacentral:rRNA from 1 species
AUUAACGCUAGCGGCAGGCAUAAUACAUGCAAGUUGAACGGCAGCACAGGUAGCAAUACUGGGUGGCGUGUGGCGCACGGGUGCGUAACACGUAUGCAACCUACCCUAUACAGGCGAAUAACCUUUAGAAAUGAGGGCUAAUACGCCGUAGUAUUACAGAUGGGCAUCUAUUUGUAAUUAAAGAUUUAUCGGUAUAGGAUGGGCAUGCGUCCCAUUAGUUAGUUGGUAAGGUAACGGCUUACCAAGACGAUGAUGGGUAGGGG